UACGUAGGGCGCAAGCGUUAUCCGGAAUUAUUGGGCGUAAAGAGCUCGUAGGCGGUUUGUCGCGUCUGCUGUGAAAGACCGGGGCUCAACUCCGGUUCUGCAGUGGGUACGGGCAGACUAGAGUGUGGUAGGGGAGACUGGAAUUCCUGGUGUAGCGGUGAAAUGCGCAGAUAUCAGGAGGAACACCGAUGGCGAAGGCAGGUCUCUGGGCCACUACUGACGCUGAGAAGCGAAAGCAUGGGGAGCGAACAGG
rnacentral:rRNA from 1 species